GAUGAACGCUGGCGGCGUGCCUAAUACAUGCAAGUCGAGCGAACAGACGAGGAGCUUGCUCCUCUGACGUUAGCGGCUGACGGGUGAGUAACACGUUGAUAACCUACCUAUAAGACUGGGAUAACUUCGGGAAACCUUAUCUAAUACCGGAUAAUAUAUUUAACCUCAUGGUUCAUUAUUUUAAGACGGUUUUUUUGUCUCUUAUAGAUGUUUCCGCGCCGCAUUAGCUAGUUGGUAAGGUAACGGCUUACCAAGGCAAGGAUGCGUAGCCGACCUGAGAGGGUGAUCGGCGACACUGGAAGUGAGACACGGUACAGACUACUACGGGAGGCAGCAGUAGGGAAUAUUCCGAAAUGGGCGAAAGCAUGACGGAGAAACGCCGCGUGAGUGAUGAAGGUCUUCGGAUCGUAAAACUCUGUUAUUAGGGAAGAACAAAUGUGUAAGUAAAUAUGCACGUCUUGACGGUAACUAAUCAGAAAGCAACGGCUAACUACGUG
rnacentral:rRNA from 1 species